UAUAUAAAAUUACAUUAUUACAACCUCGAACUGCACAUUAGGUGUCGAGAAAUGAAUGAAACGCUAAGCACACAGCAAAUAGCACUGACAACAAAUUUGCCGGUGAAUUUACUCGUAUGACAACGCGUCAACGCGUUUGAGACCUAUUUGAAAGUUUGCGCAGAAACUUUCUCGCGGAGUUUCGAAUGUCGUCUGUCGACGCGCUCGGCCAAUCUUUGUUCGAACACUUUUCGCAGUGUCGCACAGAGGGCAGCACCGUCGCCCCGGGGCAGAAACUCGUUUUCCGCGCGUUGUUCGCACCACAUUUAGCGAGCGGCAUUAUUCCUUCGACGGCGCUCAUAGAGAGAUCACCUACAGCGCGGCACGAUGCUGAGGGGUAAAGAAACUGCUGCUAUGGUGCCAGUGGAAACCUCUGCGGUUUUGUGGACCGAGUGACGUGAACCGACCUGUCGGAUGGGCCUCUGGAGACAAGCGUUCGCUCUGUCGGUGUCAGCUGGAACGACUGCAGCGCCACCUUGAGAAGAAGGUGACGUACGUAGACCAACAUGCCACAAUGCACUGUACGCCGGUAGAUUAAAAAGAAGAGACAUAGACGGACAGAAAAUUAAACAACGGACCAGGCAAGGACGCAACAGGCGCGACAUUAUUAUUACAGGUGUCAAUAGCCAAAACGCCUGCCCUGUACGGCACUUAUGCAUCAAAUAAAAAUAAAUGCACGGCAGAAACUUGAA